rnacentral:rRNA from 1 species
CCUUCCGUAGGUGAACCUGCGGAAGGAUCAUUACUGAUUUGCUUAAUUGCACCACAUGUGUUUUUUAUUGAACAAAUUUCUUUGGUGGCGGGAGCAAUCCUACCGCCAGAGGUUAUAACUAAACCAAACUUUUUAUUUACAGUCAAACUUGAUUUAUUAUUACAAUAGUCAAAACUUUCACAACAACGGAUCUCUUGGUUCUCGCAUCGAUGAAGAACGCAGCGAAAUGCGAUACGUAAUAUGAAUUGCAGAUAUUCGUGAAUCAUCGAAUCUUUGAACGCACAUUGCGCCCUUUGGUAUUCCAAAGGGCAUGCCUGUUUGAGCGUCAUUUCUCCCUCAAACCCCCGGGUUUGGUGUUGAGCAAUACGCUAGGUUUGUUUGAAAGAAUUUAACGUGGAAACUUAUUUUAAGCGACUUAGGUUUAUCCAAAAACGCUUAUUUUGCUAGUGGCCACCACAAUUUAUUUCAUAACUUUGACCUCAAAUCAGGUAGGACUACCCGCUGAACUUAAGCAUAUCAAUAAGCGGAGGAAAAGAAACCAACAGGGAUUGCCUUAGUAGCGGCGAGUGAAGCGGCAAAAGCUCAAAUUUGAAAUCUGGCUCUUUCAGAGUCCGAGUUGUAAUUUGAAGAAGGUAUCUUUGGGUCUGGCUCUUGUCUAUGUUUCUUGGAACAGAACGUCACAGAGGGUGAGAAUCCCGUGCGAUGAGAUGAUCCAGGCCUAUGUAAAGUUCCUUCGAAGAGUCGAGUUGUUUGGGAAUGCAGCUCUAAGUGGGUGGUAAAUUCCAUCUAAAGCUAAAUAUUGGCGAGAGACCGAUAGCGAACAAGUACAGUGAUGGAAAGAUGAAAAGAACUUUGAAAAGAGAGUGAAAAAGUACGUGAAAUUGUUGAAAGGGAAGGGCUUGAGAUCAGACUUGGUAUUUUGUAUGUUACUUCUUCGGGGGUGGCCUCUACAGUUUAUCGGGCCAGCAUCAGUUUGGGCGGUAGGAGAAUUGCGUUGGAAUGUGGCACGGCUUCGGUUGUGUGUUAUAGCCUUCGUCGAUACUGCCAGCCUAGACUGAGGACUGC